rnacentral:rRNA from 1 species
AGAUUGAACGCUGGCGGCAGGCCUAACACAUGCAAGUCGAGCGGCAGCACGGGUACUUGUACCUGGUGGCGAGCGGCGGACGGGUGAGUAAUGCCUAGGAAUCUGCCUGGUAGUGGGGGAUAACGCUCGGAAACGGACGCUAAUACCGCAUACGUCCUACGGGAGAAAGCAGGGGACCUUCGGGCCUUGCGCUAUCAGAUGAGCCUAGGUCGGAUUAGCUAGUUGGUGGGGUAAUGGCUCACCAAGGCGACGAUCCGUAACUGGCCUGAGAGGAUGAUCAGUCACACUGGAACUGAGACACGGUCCAGACUCCUACGGGAGGCAGCAGUGGGGAAUACUGGACAAUGGGCGAAAAGCCUGAUCCAGCCAUGCCGCGUGUGUGAAGAAGGUCUUCGGAUUGUAAAGCACUUUAAGUUGGAGAAGGCAGUUACCUAAUACGUAUCUGUUUGACGUUACCGACAGAAUAAGCACCGGCUAACUCUGUGCCAGCA